GCACCAUGCGCAAUUUCUCCAAUUACAGCCAUAGAAGCCUAGAACUCCUUCAGUGUUGUCAUGGGGUGUCUUGUUGGCUUCCCUCACUUAUGUCCUUUUUGCUCAGGCACCGU